rnacentral:lncRNA from 1 species
GGGGAUCCGGCUGCCGCGCGGGCUGGGGAGCUGCAGAAGGCGUUCUCCCCGCCGCGGCGUUGCCCCAGACUCACCCUCAGCGAGGCACAGAGUCACCCAGUACCCGUCCGGCUCUCACUUGCCUCGGCGCUGUCUCUAUGGAGCUCAAUGUACUGCAAUGGCUGUGAGAGCGGGAGCCAGACGCAGCCUCCUCACUCUCUCCGCUCUGUAACAUUACUCUCCAGCCAGCGCGGCUCCUAUUGGCUACCGCCAACUCACGGGGCUUGCUCAUUGGCCCGAUACCUCCCAUUGUCCUGACCAGAGCCCGCUUGCUAUUGGCUGUCUCCGGGGACACGUCAUCAAGGAUUGAAACAGCGCGCAAAUCUGAAUGUGUGUGUAUGCCGGGCAAAGAGGCUGAGGCGGGAGAGGCAGAGGCAGAGGCAGCAGCUGCUACGGGAAAGCAGAGCUCUAUGGUGCCCUGCUUUUGA